CACUGUCUGCAAUGUUCUCAGCUUUUCUAUGCGAUCGUUGACUCACCUAGAUCUUUGCUCCUUCUGGGACCUGUAAGCCUGCCCAAUUGAAUCUGAAUUUCUGAUAAACAGAGAUGUUUUUAGUACAUGUUAAGUACCACUCUAUUUAUCCUAGAGAGUUUAUUUUGUCAAGUUUCCAAAUUUAUUUUUAUUAAAAUGAGUCAUCUUUUCUAGUACUUUUAACUUCCUCUAUAGCUUAGGUUAUUUCCCCAUUCUCAUUUCAUUCUUUGCGUAUUUAUACUUCCUUAAUUUUUACUGAUUGGCUAGCUAAUAGCUGUAUAUUUUUUCCAAGAUCUGUUCUGACUUCAGAUUCUCAGUUUCUGCUUCAGUUGUUCCUAAAUUCUUCCUCUUGCUUUCCCUCCUGUUCUGAUUGUUGUUCUGCUAACGUCUUACAUGAGAUGCUUUGAUCAUUUUAAUGUAACUAUCUAACACAAUGAAUUUUCCUCCGAGCCCCGCAUGCGUGUGUGCUCAGUCAUGUCUGACUCCUUGUGACCCCACGGACCGUGGCCCGCCAGGCUCCUCUGUCCAUGGGAUUUCCCAGGCAAGAAUACCUGAGUGGAUUGCCAUUUCCUACUCCAGGGGAUCUUCCUAAUCAAACCCACGUCUCUUGCACUGGCAGGCAAAUCCUUUUACCUCUCGCUAUAUUCUGUGGGGACUGAUCUGUAUGCGUGAAUGUUAUUUUGAAGAUACAGCAGUCUUGGCUUUGACUGCCUCUGUUUAACGAGAUGUUUAAAGAAGCUGUAGGAGUUGCUAACUGGGCUGGGAACGCACCCCGGUCGGCGUGGCUUGCGGUCCACGAGGGAGGCAGGCAGGGGCCAGCAAGUCUCCCGAGGUGGGAUGAGCAGGGCGUGGGGGCUGGGUUUCCUCCAGGGGCCCCGCAGGCCAAGGAGGGCCCCGUGUGGCCUCCUCACAGGACCAGGUAUGCAUUGGAAGGGUCAUGGCUGUCUUGAGUAGGGAGCAGACCGAGGUGGUGGCAGCAGCCAGGAGGCAGAGAGAGGGAUAAAGACGGAACUAAGGCCAGGCCACGCAGCUGGAGGGGGAGGCCUGGGUGACCGUCUCGGAGUGGGGAAAGGAGGCCACCGGAGAGUGUUUGGCUGCCUCAGAGCUGGCUUCUGGUUUGUGUGUUGAGUCCGAGGCCCCAGAGCAGAAGUCCUGCUCCAGGGAGGAUGACGGGAGGACGUGGCCCCGUCUGGAAGGACGCCAAGAUGCAGGCUCACUUCUAUCCUGGGUUGAGGACACCAGGGGCCUCAGCGUGACCCCAGAGGAGUCCAGGUCUUCAGUGGAGAAGAGACCCUGGAGAUGUGUGGAGACCUGGCCCAAGGCAUACAGGAGCUGAGGCCCCCACCCCCCAGGCUCUGAAGGCAGGCUCGGAGGCGUCUGUCUCACCUGGCUGAAGCUGGGCUCGAACUCCACCUGGCC